GAUGAACGCUAGCGGCAGGCCUAAUACAUGCAAGUCGAGGGGUAACAUGAGAGCUUGCUCUUGAUGACGACCGGCGCACGGGUGCGUAACGCGUAUGCAACCUACCCAUCACUGAGGGAUAGCCCGUGGAAACAUGGAUUAAUACCUCAUAAUAUAUAGAAAUGGCAUCGUUUUUAUAUUAAAGAUUUAUUGGUGAUGGAUGGGCAUGCGUUAGAUUAGCUAGUUGGUGAGGUAAUGGCUCACCAAGGCUACGAUCUAUAGGGGGUCUGAGAGGAUGGUCCCCCACACUGGUACUGAGAUACGGACCAGACUCCUACGGGAGGCAGCAGUAGGGAAUAUUGGUCAAUGGAGGCAACUCUGAACCAGCCAUGCCGCGUGUAGGAAGACGGCGUUCUGCGUUGUAAACUACUUUUAUCUAGGAAGAAAUGCAUGCUUGCGAGCGUGUUUGACGGUACUAGAAGAAUAAGCACCGGCUAACUCCG
rnacentral:rRNA from 1 species